AAAAAAGAGAACAGAGUGGCAAAGUUAUGGAAUCGGGGCAGAACGAUGAGUGCAGAGCGAUCUUGAUCAAUUUCGAGCAAACGGAGCUCCGCCUGGGAUUGCCCGGCGGCGAAAUCGGCGGCGGAAAGAGUAAUUCGGCUGGGAAGAGAGGGUUUAUGGAAACUGUGGAUUUGAAGCUUAAUUUAUCUUCUUCAAUGGCGUCUGUGAAGGAGGAAGCGACGAAUUUGGAAGAGAUUAAAAGUUCUUCGCAACGGCCUAACGAUUUUGCUAAACCUCCUUCCAAAGCACAAGUAGUGGGUUGGCCACCAGUUAGAUCAUCAAGGAAGAAUUUGGGAGCGGCGAGGAACGGCGGCGAUGACGGCGGCGCGUCGUUCGUAAAA
rnacentral:misc_RNA from 1 species